UACGGAGGAUGCGAGCGUUAUCCGGAUUUAUUGGGUUUAAAGGGUGCGCAGGCGGGCUGUUAAGCCGGCGGUAAAAAUUCAGGGCUCAACCCUGUCGAGCCGUCGGAACUGGCAGUCUCGAGUUGGAGAGAAGUAUGCGGAAUGCGCGGUGUAGCGGUGAAAUGCAUAGAUAUCGCGCAGAACCCCGAUUGCGAAGGCAGCCUGCCGGCCCCACACUGACGCUGAGGCACGAAAGCGUGGGGAGCAAACAGG
rnacentral:rRNA from 1 species